GGUUACAGAUGACCUUUUUAUUUACCUUUUGACAUAUGAUACAUCCUCUGCAUAUUUGCUUCACUAAAGUGUAUAUUCCUACACAGACUUUCUUAGCACAACAUCACACAUUGCUUGCACCUCCCAAUGACUCUCCUGAUGUAAAACAGUUAAUAUUUGCCUCAUUGGUGCUUUAUUCAGCAUUUCUCUCCCAUCAGGGAGUAUCUAUUUUCCUUCAGAUUUCGUGGCUCCUGAUUCCUUAA